rnacentral:misc_RNA from 1 species
UCUCCGUUGGUGAACCAGCGGAGGGAUCAUUACUGGAAUUGCAAGAUCCCACAACCCUGUGAACCUACCGAAACGUUGCCUCGGCGGGUGCCCGGCCCCCGCGCCGGGCGCUGCGCCCGCCGGCGGCCCCCUACUCUGUCUCUGCAGCGUGGCAUCUCAGAGUCCCAGAAAACAAGUCAAAACUUUCAACAACGGAUCUCUUGGCUCUA